CUUCUGUCCAGCGCAGCCCUGAGGUGCCAGGUCCAGUGACACAAGGCUCUGUGCUGUGAGGAUGCAUUCCUCUGGAGUGGGCCAAGGUCCACUGGCUGGGGAGGAUCUGAAUAGGCCUAGGCUUCAGAGCGCUCCCUGGGCUGAGCUUGGACCUCGGGUCCAGAGAGACCAUCUCCAGAGAGGAAGGUUGGCUUCAGGGCUGCCCAGCUGGUGCAGAUGGGGUCUGGGCCUCUCCAAGAGUGACUCCCACCUGCAGCUCUCUGACCAGACCAGAAACCCGCAGGAAGAGCUGGCGUGAGCCCAGGGCCCCAUGCAGGUCUCCUCCCAUCCUUCCUACCAGGCCAGCAUUUCUACUCUGUGCAGCUACCAGCGAGGAGGGCCUGUGGGCUCAAAGACCCAACAGGAAUUCCUGCAGAAGCCCCAUAGCUUGAAGAGGGACCGUGGGAUGAAUGAGCCUGCAUGCAGCCUGGAAUGCAAAGCUGCCACAGUUUCUGCAGGGCUGCUUUGUCAGACCUCUUAGAACACAAGCAGCAGAACUAGGAAGGCCCUCAGAAUGAAGGAGACGCAGGCACCGUGGGAGCCCAGGGCCCCUUUCCAUUGCACCAGUGCUCCAUCCUCCCACAUCUCCCAAAGAUCAGCCCUCCUCAGUGACCCCGGGAGCCCAGGAAGAUCAAGGAUCGAGACUGUCGCCCUGGACCUGCCUGCUGUGUAGCUCUGGGUGCAAGUCAAAGAUCAAGCUGAAGUAAAGUUCACCUGCAUCUCGUUAUUGGGCCAUGAGAAAUAGCAGCCCGACCCUCAGUUUGAUCCAGGAACAAUCUCACCAGGGCUUGCCAUCAGCCCAGGACAAUUGACAAGACACUGCUCUCGGGCACCAGAUACACCAACCGAGCGAUUCUCAGAACCCCUAGCAUGGGCCACAAACCAAACACGCAGAGCCGCAGCGAGGACAGAGGGUGCCGCGUGGCCCUUCCUGACAUUCUUUCAUCUGCACACUGUACCGUCAACUCAUUUUCUGCACGGAAUGAAGAUACAUCACUCUGCUCUGGAAAACUACAUUUAGCAUCUCCUUCUUUUUGUGGGGCAGGGAAGUUUUCAUCGACAAAGCGUUUGUAUUGCAGAUGGCUCACCAUAUGCCACGUUCCUGCACGUUAUCACCUUGUAAGCAGAUUCUGUCAGGUUUUAGGAGUAAAAGCUUAAUUAACAAGUGGUGUGUACAAUUAUGUACUUAAUUAUCUACUGCUUUUAUUUCUUUGUUGUUUCUUGUUUUCCAAAAGUUUGGUAACAAUUACAGGCAACUGUUGCCUAAUGCAAU
rnacentral:lncRNA from 10 species